UCCUCCACUCUUCCCGUAGAAAACUUGUUCGAGCCCUAUCUGUUCGAAGCAGCAGGGUAGGAUAGGGCGGAGCCGCCGGUGACCCCGGCGUUGGCGGUGGCAGCGGCAGAGGGGUUCGGAGAGAAUGGCCGCUGGGGCGAGGAGGCGGAGCCGAUGACCCCAGCGGUGGCGGCGGCAGAGGGGGUCGGCGAUGAUGGCCGAUGGGGCGAGGAGGCGGAGCCGAUGACCCCGGCGGCAGCGGCAGAGGGGUCCUAGGGGCUCGAGGACCGACGUCUGAUGCAGCCGUGGUUCCUUGCCGUCAAGAGCUAGAUCGAGCGCACGACGGUGUAGCCGUCCAGAGGAAGAAGAAGAGCACCCUGCGCCGGUUCGGCCGUGGCGUCACGGAGGAGAUGGAGAGAAAGGGCACUGGUGGCCCCGUGAAGGUCGAGGAGGUCGCCGCCUCGUCGUGCAGCGCGCGAUGGUGGACCGAUGGGCGUCCAAGAGGCACUUGACCUUGCCGGAUCACACUGCUGCUGGCGUAAUCCAGGCCGGAUCUGUGGAGAGCCUGGCGCAGGCACGCAACACCGUCUACAGAUUGAUAAGGGCAGGAGCUUCAAUGACGAAUCUACUAUUCAACACACAUCCCAACUCGACAGGCACUAGCCAUGUCAACAGGCACUCAGGGGCAUGCUCGCCUCGGCAAUCAUCAAGGUGGCAAUAGGACACUUGAAUUCUACCAUUUCAGGUGAGAUCAAGCUGCACAGGAAUAUGAGGAACGAUCCGAUCUGGAGAACAUGAAGAUGACGCUGGAGUCGGUGGAUGCUGUGCUCCGCGAUGCUGAGAGGGAGUCUAUCAAGCAUAAGUCCAUGCUUCUGUGGCUGAAGCAACUUAAGGAUGCCACGAACGACAUCUCUCACGUGCUUGAAGAUUUUGAAGAAGAAACCGACCUCAACAUGGUAUUUUGGCAAUGUUGGCUCUUGGGCUGCCCAAUUGAUCACUGAAGCUGGUGGCAAGGUGGUCUCCAUCAAAGAUGUCACAGGGGCUGUCAAGAACUCCAAUGGCAUCGACAUAGCCAAGCUGAUGAAGCACUCGGCAGAGAACCGCGGGAUCAAGGGCUCCGACAAAAGGCGACGCCGCCGACCCGACCUCGCUGCUCACGGAAGAGUGCGACGUGCUCAUCCCGGCAGCUCUGGGAGGAGUCAUAAACAAGGACAAUGUUGAUGCCCUCAAAGCAAAGUACAUCAUCAAGGCUGCUAACCACCCAACAAACCCCGAGGCCGAAGAG